UCCCAAGUUGCUCAGAUGGUAAAGAAUCUGCCUGCGAUGUGGAAAACCUGGGUUCGAUUCCUGGGUUGGGAA
rnacentral:tRNA from 1 species